UACAGAGGGUGCUAGCGUUGUUCGGAAUCAUUGGGCGUAAAGGGCGUGUAGGCGGUUUGCUAAGUCAUGUGUGAAAUCCCUCGGCUCAACCGGGGAACGACGCAUGAAACUGGCAAGCUAGAGUACCAAAGAGGGGAGACUGGAAUUCCUGGUGUAGCGGUGAAAUGCGUAGAUAUCGUGAGGAAGGCCAGUGGCGAAGGCGGGUCUCUGGACAGUUACUGACACUGAGGCACGAAGGCCAGGGGAGCAAACGGG
rnacentral:rRNA from 1 species